GACGAACCGUGCGAACGUUGUUCGGAAUCACUGGGCUUAAAGGGCGCGUAGGCGGGCUGUCAAGUCUGGGGUGAAAUCCUUCGGCUCAACCGGAGAAUGGCCUCAGAUACUGACGGUCUCGAGGGGGAUAGGGGCAUGCGGAACUAGGGGUGGAGCGGUGAAAUGCGUUGAUAUCCUUAGGAACUCCGGUGGCGAAGGCGGCAUGCUGGAUCCCUUCUGACGCUGAGGCGCGAAAGCCAGGGGAGCAAACGGG
rnacentral:rRNA from 1 species